AUACGGAGGGUGCAAGCGUUGUUCGGAAUUACUGGGCGUAAAGCGCGCGUAGGCGGUCUGUUAUGUCAGAUGUGAAAGUCCUCGGCUCAACCGGGGAAGUGCAUUUGAAACUGGCAGACUUGAGUACUGGAGGGGGUGGUGGAAUUCCCGGUGUAGAGGUGAAAUUCGUAGAUAUCGGGAGGAAUACCGGUGGCGAAGGCGACCACCUGGCCAGAUACUGACGCUGAGGUGCGAAAGCGUGGGGAGCAAACAGGAUUAGAAACCCGAGUAGUCC
rnacentral:rRNA from 1 species